rnacentral:tRNA from 1 species
GCUAAAUAAGCUAUCGGGCCCAUACCCCGAAAAUGUUGGAUUGCACC